UACGGAGGUUGCAAGGGUUAAUCGGAAUUACUGGGCGUAAAGCGCGCGUGGGCGGUUUUUUAAGUCGGAUGUGAAAGCCCCGGGCUCAACCUGGGAACUGCAUCCGAUACUGGAAGACUAGAAUGCGGGAGAGGGAGGUAGAAUUCCAUGUGUAGCAGUGAAAUGCGUAGAUAUAUGGAGGAAUACCAGUGGCGAAGGCGGCCUCCUGGCUCGACAUUGACGCUGAGGUACGAAAGCUAGGGUAGCAAAUGGG
rnacentral:rRNA from 1 species